CCAAUAUUAAUAUCCAACAAAGUAUCCGAUCUACCAAUGAAUUUCUAUGAAACGUCCAGCAAAACAUGAUACGAAUUACUGAUACUUUGUAGCAAGUAAUAUCUGCUAGAACACAUAAACGUAUUUUAACGCCAAGAAGGUCUUUAUUUGAAAUAUUAUUGACCAACAAAAAAUGCCAUAUAUGGGAAGAACAGAAAGACUGAGGGGUCUUUUAAGUCAUCUCCCCCAAUAUGUAAAUAUUGCAUUUAAUAGCGGUUUUCCCCUAAUGAUAUCAAAUAUGAUUUCAUGGUUUACCUUGCAGUGACUAAGGGAAAGUCUUAGAAAUAUG